UACGUAGGGUGCAAGCGUUGUCCGGAAUUAUUGGGCGUAAAGAGCUCGUAGGCGGUCUGUCGCGUCUGCUGUGAAAACUCAGGGCUUAACCCUGAGCUUGCAGUGGGUACGGGCAGACUAGAGUGCGGUAGGGGAGAUUGGAAUUCCUGGUGUAGCGGUGGAAUGCGCAGAUAUCAGGAGGAACACCGAUGGCGAAGGCAGAUCUCUGGGCAUUAACUGACGCUGAGGAGCGAAAGCAUGGGGAGCGAACAGG
rnacentral:rRNA from 1 species